UACGUAGGGUGCAGGCGUUAAUCGGAAUUACUGGGCGUAAAGCGCACGUAGGCGGAUCGAUCAGUCAGGGGUGAAAUCCCAGGGCUCAACCCUGGAACUGCAUUGGAAACUGCACGGCUUGAGUACUGGAGAGGUGAGGGGAAUUCUCGGUGUAAGGGUGAAAUCUGUAGAUAUCGAGAGGAACACCAGUGGCGAAGGCGCCUCACUGGCCGGUUACUGACACUGAGCUGCGAAAGCAAGGGGAGCAAACAGG
rnacentral:rRNA from 1 species